GGCAAGAAGUUGCGGCGCCUAUCCAACAUUUUAGGUUGCCGUGAUCCUGAAUAUGUUUCACCUUCGAGAUCUAGUUCAUCCCAAAGAAAUACCCUAGACGAUUCAACUUCUUCGGGAGCUCGUAUGGACGAUGGUGACAUUACCUCGACAGCUCAUUUAGAGGAUGAUGUUGACACUCCAGAGGUUGCGGACGAAAUGACGUUGAAGACUUUCCAACGCUCCGCUUACAUGUUGAAGCCUAGGAAGGAAUUUAGGCGGUACUCACCGGAUGAUAUGCACACAAAGGAAAGAACCCGGUCGCCGGGGGCUCUCGUUUGUCAAGGAUGAGAAGCAUGGACGAUGAGGAUGACGAUGACGAUGACGAUGAGUUGGAUGAACCGGAGCCAUUUGUAGUUGUGAGAAGAAAGAAGCUAGCUUCUAAGAGGGGACGAGGCCCCAAGAUGUGAACCGGAGCCAUUUGAAGUUGUGAAUCAUUUGCACUUGUGGGUGUUGCACUUGUGUUGUGAACCACUUGCUUACCGCGGGUGUUGUGAACCAUUUGCUGUUAAUGCUAUGAAUUGUGGGUGUUGCACUUCUAAAAGGGUUUAAUGCUAUGAAUUGUGAACCAUUUGCUUACGAUGAUUUAUAUGCUGUCAAUUGCUGUCAAAA